AACAUAUACUUUUGGAAAUUUUAAAUCAAAUAUUCAUCCAAAAAUUCAAGAUAUAGCUCCAACCAUUACUAUCAAUAAAAUGGCUUAUUUACUACCUUUGAAUUAUAUGUGUUGUCUUCAAUGCUCUAUAAUUCUUUUAUAUAAACUCCAAAUAUAACAAUUAUUUUAUAAAAGACAUAGGUCUUCAAAUUAUUCUUACAAUUGUAUCUCUUGAUUUCCAAAAGUUGUCAUAUAAGUCUCCAUAUUCUCAAAAGAGCAAUAAUAUGUCUUAAAAAGACACCUUAACUUCAAAUGGCUAUAACUUCAUCACUCUAACACCAAACCUUCUAAAAUUUGUGCAAAAAUUAUAGUCCAAAUCUUAAUUCUUAUAAUUCUUACUUUUGAUUCUUAAAUGUCCUUUUUGAAGUCACAAAAAUCUUUUUUAUGGUCACACAACCUCUUAAG
rnacentral:lncRNA from 1 species